rnacentral:siRNA from 1 species
UCCGAAUGAUUCAGGCUCUUC